UGCAGCCAUGGCCAUGGCGUUCCGCAGCUCGGCGCUCAGCUCCGCGGGGGAGUCGCUCAUGGUGGAGGAGGACACGGCCGCGGAGAAACCGCCACCUCUCCGCGCGUGCAGGAACAGGUCAUCCACAUCCGGGGACGAGGCUCGGCUGGAGCCCAGGCUGGCGUCGGAAUCCAUGCGGAGGAAGAAGGGUAC